CUUCCCGUUUAAGGAAAACCUCCUUGUAUAAAAGAAAUUUUCGCUUCCAAGUAAGUCACUUUUGAAGUUGACUAGAUCUAAAAAUGUGCACUGCAGUCUGUGUUUGGGCUUUUUUGCUUCUGUCUUGCGUAACAGUCAACGCUGGCUUGAUAGCAGAUUUCGACGAAUAUAAAUCAGAAAGGGAGCUCAGAAAAUACCUCUUUGAUGAAUAUGAUAAACUUGUCAGACCUGUUAUGAUACCUUCCAGAAAGGUCAACGUUUCUGCGGGACUUGCGCUAUUGUUUCUACGAGAACUGG